rnacentral:lncRNA from 1 species
AUGUUCAAGCUGGUUUUAGAAAAGGCAGAGGAACCAGAGAUCAAAUUGCCAACAUCUGCUGGAUCAUGGAAAAAGCAAGAGAGUUCCAGAAAAACAUCUAUUUCUGCUUUAUUGACUAUGCCAAAGCCUUUGACUGUGUGGAUCACAAGAAACUGGAAAAUUCUGAAAGAAAUGGGAAUACUGGACCACCUGACCUGCCUCUUGAGAAAUCUGUAUGCAGGCCAGGAAGCAACAGUUAGAACUGGACAUGGAACAACAGACUGGUUCCAAAUAGGAAAAGGAGUACGUCAAGGCUGUAUAUUAUCACCUUGCUUAUUUAACUUCUAUGCAGAGUACAUCAUGAGAAACGCUGGACUGGAAGAAACACAAGCUGGAAUCAAGAUUUCCGGGAGAAAUAUCAAUAACCUCAAAUAUGCAGAUGACACCACCCUUAUGGCAGAAAGUGAAGAGGAACUAAAAAGUCUCUUGAUGAAAGUAAAAGAGGAGAGUGAAAAAAUUGGCCUAAAGCUCAACAUUCAGAAAAUGAAGAUCAUGGCAUCCAGUCCCAUCACUCCAUGGGAAAUAGAUGGGGAAACAGUAGAAGCAGUGUCAGACUUUACUUUUUUGGGCUCCAAAAUGACUGCAGAUGGCGACUGCAGCCAUGAAAUUAAAAGACACUUACUCCUUGGAAGAAAAGUUAUGACCAACCUAGAUAGCAUAUUCAAAAGCAGAGACAUUAUUUUGCCGACUAAGGUCCAUCUUGUCAAGGCUAUGGUUUUCCCUAUGGUCAUGUAUGGAUGUAAGAGUUGGACUGUGAAGAAGGCUGAGCGCCGAAGAAUUGAUGCUUUUGAAGCAUGGUGUUGGAGAAGACUCUUGAGAGUCCCUUGGACUGCAAGGAGAUUCAACCAGUCCUUUCUAAAGGAGAUCAACCCGGGGAUUUGUUUGGAAGGAAUGAUGCUAAAGCUGAAACUCCAGUACUUUGGCCACCUCAUGCGAAGAGUUGACUCAUUGGAAAAGACUCUGAUGCUAAGAGGGAUUGGGGGCAGGAGGAGAAGGGGACGUCCGAGGAUGAGAUGGCUGGAUGGCAUCACUGACUCGAUGGAUGCGCCUCUGAGUGAACUCCGGGUGUUGGUGAUGGACAGGGAGGCCUGGCGUGCUGCUAUUCAUGGGGUCGCAAAGAGUCGGACACGACUGAGCGACUGA